rnacentral:rRNA from 1 species
GAUGAACGCUGGCGGCGUGCCUAAUACAUGCAAGUCGAGCGAACUUUUGGGAGCUUGCUCCCUAAAGUUAGCGGCGGACGGGUGAGUAACACGUGGGUAACCUGCCUGUAAGACUGGGAUAACUUCAGGAAACCGGAGCUAAUACCGGAUAACAUUAAAGACCAAAUUGCCUUCAAUUAAAAGGUGGAUUUUAUCUACCACUUACAGAUGGACCCGCGGCGCAUUAGCUAGUUGGUGAGGUAACGGCUCACCAAGGCGACGAUGCGUAGCCGACCGGAGAGGGUGAUCGGCCACACUGGGACUGAGACACGGCCCAGACGCAUACGGGAGGCAGCAGUAGGGAAUCUUCCGCAAUGGACGAAAGUCUGACGGAGCAACGCCGCGUGAGCGAAGAAGGCCUUCGGGUCGUAAAGCUCUGUUGUUAGGGAAGAAAAAGUAUCGUUCGAAUAGGGCGGUACCUUGACGGUACCUAACCAGAAAGCCACGGCUAACUACGUG